AACCAUGAUCCUCAGAUCUCAGCCUCCUGAGUAGCUAGGAUUACAAGUAUGAGCCUCUAGCAGCUGGCUCAUGUCUCUGCUUUUGAGAAUUGUGAUUACCAGUGAACUUGUUCUGUUGGCUCAGUAUGUAGUCCAGGUCUCAAACUCAUGAUCCUCUUGCCUUAGCCUCCCAGAUGCUGAGAUUAUAAAUAUGACAACCAUGACCUGCUCA